UUUAAUCGAUGCAACGCGAAGAACCUACCUGGUCUUGACAUCCCGGAGACCCUUAGGAAACUAGGGGGUGCUUCCAUCUGGAAGAAUCUGGAGACAGGUGCUGCAUGGCUGUCGUCAGCUCGUGUCGUGAGAUGUUGGGUUAAGUCCCGCAACGAGCGCAACCCUUGCCUUUAGUUGCCAGCAGUUCGGCUGGGCACUCUAAAGGGACUGCCGGUGUUAAACCGGAGGAAGGUGGGGAUGACGUCAAGUCCUCAUGGCCUUUAUGACCAGGGCUACACACGUACUACAAUGGCCGAUACAAAGGGCAGCGACACUGCGAGGUGAAGCCAAUCCCGUAAAAUCGGUCUCAGUCCGGAUUGGAGUCUGCAACUCGACUCCAUGAAGUUGGAAUCGCUAGUAAUCGUGGAUCAGCAUGCCACGGUGAAUACGUUCCCGGGCCUU
rnacentral:rRNA from 1 species